rnacentral:tRNA from 1 species
GGGUCGAUGCCCGAGCGGUUAAUGGGGACGGACUGUAAAUUCGUUGACAAUAUGUCUACGCUGGGUCAAAUCCAGCUCGGCCCA